GUGUGUGGCAAUUAACAGCUAUUGUAUUGGUGGCCAAAUGGGGUUGGGGUGCGUGUGUGGCUAUAUAUUGCUAGUAUGUGCGCAUGUGUGGCCGAGGAAAGGUCAGUGUGUGUGGUUGAGUGAAGCUGGUGGUGGGGUGGCAAAAAUAGAGUGUGUGUGUAUGGCUAACCAAGGUCGAGGAGGUAUGUGUGUGUGGCUGAAAGGCUGGGGUGCGUGUGUGGCUAGAUUGAAGCUGAUGAGUGGCUUGUGUGGCCGAACUAGGACCGGUAGAGUGUUUGGUGGUUGAAGGCAAGGUAGGUAGUGGAGGUACACGUGUAUGGGUAGUGUAGGAUUAGAGAGAGAGGGUGUGGCGAGAGGGUUAUGAGGAUGAGGAAUAGGUGUAAUGUUAGAUUAGAUGUUUAAAUGUAUUUUCAUG
rnacentral:lncRNA from 1 species